CCACAGCAAUAAUACUCCCAGUAAUGUGUCUGAGUGUAUAACAGAGCUUCACAGCAAUAAUACUCCCAGUAAUGUCUCUGAGUGUAUAACAGAGCUCCACAGUAAUAAUACUCCCAGUAAUGUCUCUGAGUGUAUAACAGAGCUCCACAGCAAUAAUACUCCCAGUAAUGUGUCUGAGUGUAUAACAGAGCUCCACAGCAAUAAUAUUCCCAGUAAUUUGUCUGAGUGUAUAACAGAGCUCCACAGCAAUAAUACUCCCAGUAAUGUGUCUGAGUGUAUAACAGAGCUCCACAGCAAUAAUACUCCCAGUAAUGUGUCUGAGUGUAUAACAGAGCCCCACAGCAAUAAUAUUCCCAGUAAUGUGUCUGAGUGUAUAACAGAGCCCCACAGCAAUAAU